AAUCAACGCUGGCGGCGUGCCUCAGACAUGCAAGUCGAACGAGAACCUCCCUUCGGGGAGGAGACAGUGGCGCACGGGUGAGUAACACGUGGGUAAUUUACCUUUGGGUGGGGAACAACAGCCGGAAACGGCUGCUAAUACCGCAUAAUGCAGCGGCUCGACAUCGAGACAGUUGUUAAAGCGGGGGAUCGCAAGACCUCGCGCCUGAAGAGAAGCCUGCGGCGGAUUAGCUAGUUGGUAGGGUAAUGCCUACCAAGGCGACGAUCUGUAACCGGCCUGAGAGGGCGGUCGGUCACACUGACACUGACAUACGGGUCAGACUCCUACGGGAGGCAGCAGUCGGGAAUUUUGGGUCAAUGGGCGAAAGCCUGACCCAGCAACGCCGCGUGAAGGAUGAAGCUUUCGGAGUGUAAACUUCAUAAGAAUGGGAAGAAUAAGUGUGGGAUAAUACCCUUCACGAUGACGGUACCAUUUGUAAGCUCUGGCUAACUCCGUGCCAGCCGCCGCC
rnacentral:rRNA from 1 species